rnacentral:rRNA from 1 species
AGCAGCCGCGGUAAUUCCAGCUCCAAUAGCGUAUAUUAAAGUUGUUGCAGUUAAAAAGCUCGUAGUUGAAUUUCGGGAUCAACAUGUCGGUCGUGCCUCCGGUACGUACUGGCAUCGUUGAUUUCUACCUUCUGACGAACCAUGAUGUCAUUAAUUUGGUGUCAUGGGGAAUCAGGACCGUUACUUUGAAAAAAUUAGAGUGUUUAAAGCAGGCACACGCUUGAGUACAUUAGCAUGGAAUAAUGAAAUAGGACGUUUGACCCUAUUUUGUUGGUUUCUAGGAUCGACGUAAUGAUUAAUAGGGAUAGUUGGGGGCAUUAGUAUUCAAUUGUCAGAGGUGAAAUUCUUGGAUUUAUUGAAGACUAACUACUGCGAAAGCAUUUGCCAAGGAUGUUUUCAUUAAUCAAGAACGAAAGUUAGGGGAUCGAAGACGAUCAGAUACCGUCGUAGUCUUAACCAUAAACUAUGCCGACUAGGGAUCGGAUGAUGUUAAUUUUUUAAUGACUCAUUCGGCG